UCUCUGAUAGUAUAUCGGUUAGUACACGCGCCUGUCAUUCCAACGACCGCGCGAAAGCUGGGUUCGACUCCCAGUCAGAGAG
rnacentral:tRNA from 1 species